rnacentral:rRNA from 1 species
AGUGAACGCUGGCGGUAGGCCUAACACAUGCAAGUCGAACGGCAGCACAGUAAGAGCUUGCUCUUACGGGUGGCGAGUGGCGGACGGGUGAGGAAUACAUCGGAAUCUACUUUUUCGUGGGGGAUAACGUAGGGAAACUUACGCUAAUACCGCAUACGACCUACGGGUGAAAGCAGGGGAUCUUCGGACCUUGCGCGAUUGAAUGAGCCGAUGUCGGAUUAGCUAGUUGGCGGGGUAAAGGCCCACCAAGGCGACGAUCCGUAGCGGGUCUGAGAGGAUGAUCAGCCACACUGGAACUGAGACACGACCCAGACUCCUACGGGAGGCAGCAGUGGGGAAUAUUGGACAAUGGGCGCAAGCCUGAUCCAGCCAUACCGCGUGGGUGAAGAAGGCCUUCGGGUUGUAAAGCCCUUUUGUUGGGAAAGAAAAGCAGCAGGUUAAGACCCCGCUGUUCUGACGGUACCCAAAGAAUAAGCACCGGCUAACUUCGU